rnacentral:lncRNA from 1 species
UUUUUUUUUUUUUUUUUGGUUGCCAGGAGCCAUGUGAGUCAGAGGUGCUCCCUGCCCCAGCCCCAAGUGCAGCUUCCCAGCCAGUGGAGAGCUGUGCCAGCUCUCUUCCUACCGGUGAGCUGGCCCAGUGGAGUGGCUGCUUGUGGUGGGAGGCCUUCUGAUUGACACAUUCAGGCUGCCUGGGAGGAAAUGUGCUGGAUGCUUUCAGUCCAAGUGCGUGGCAAAUCUUCUGCUCCAUCAAAAGGAGAAGGCUAGUAUGUAUAACUGUGUAUUUAUUUUAUUUCAAGCUUUGAACUUAAAUCUCUCUCAGUACCCAGCUUACAUCCUUCCUGGCUAUUUAGCUGUCAAUAUUCCUAUUAUUCUUACUUCUGUACUAUAGAAAAAUGUCUGGAUUAAAUAUGACAUAGUGGCUUUACUCAUUGGGUAUAUUGCAGGUUGUAAGUUUAUCAGGUACCUAAAAUGAUGCAAGAGAAUAAAGAUAACUCCUCUGUGUAUCACUGAAUUAGAAUGAAGAGUUUAAAAUUAUUAAAUAACCUCUUCCUGUUUUUUUAGGUGGUGUUUUUUGUACCUACAAAGUGGGAAUAACCUUUCAUUGGACAGUAGGUUGAAAUGAAGCUAGGAAGCUGUGGUAGUUAAGAAAUAGCUCCUAGGGAUAGUUACAUAGUGAUUUGUACUAUUACAAUUUCCUGGCAACAGUAUCCAACACGUUCAGACAAGUUUUUUGUUAAUUCAGCCAUUUUUAGCAGCAUUGCACAGGUGCAAUUUGUGCUAUAAUUUGUAAGGUUUUACUCUUCAAAAAGACUCAACUUGUAUUAAAAACAAAAACAACUGUUUUUUCCUAUUUUUGUUCUGUAUGUGUCUACUGGGUGUCAUUUAAAUUUUCAUAGAGUCUCUGGAAAAGGGAAGGAUUGAAGUUCUUAUGUUCACUGCUCUGUCAGGUAAAAAGCAAUGGAUUCCUGCAGGGUAGCUUGUAGGGUCUUGGUGGUGUUUUGUACCUUAUUCUUUAAAAGUACUUGGAGGCUUUCAUGACUUUUCAGAGACUGCAGUGUGAACUCUUGUGAUUUGCAUUUGUUCCCUGCAAUUUGCAGCUGCAGGCACUGCACUAUCUUUGUUUAAAUAUAAUGCCAAAUGCCUUUAAAAUAGGUAUUUGAACUGUGGGUUAAGGAGACUACUUUGGUAAUAUUAAAGGCCUUUUUACUGCACACAUCAAAUAUCUAAAAUACAAUGCAAUCUUUCUGAAGCCAUUUCUGUAUUGUUAGUAACACAAAAAGAGAAGCGGGGUCUUUAGAAAUGCCUUUUGUCAUUUUCCUAGUAGUCUCUCCUUCUCAAAAUUUAUUUUAAAAUAUGACAAACUUGACACAUCAGAAAUGAGCAAUAAGAGUCAAAGUGCUGUUCUGUUAGCAGGUUAGUUGUACUUGAAGUUUUGCUACUAACUUAAGUAAAGUUAUGUUGAUAGCACACCAGCUGCUUAUCAGUCUUACUUGACGUGUGGACUACUGACCAAAAAUUGUAUGCCUGGCAGGUUUUACCAAAAUACUGUGAAGCAAGGAAAUCCAACCCAAAAGGUUUUGUUAAACACAGAUUUCACUAUGGUAAAAUAGAGUUUUAUGCUGGGGAAAAAAAAUUAUAUGUAGUAUUUGACUUUGAUUUUAAACAUGAUUCUGUUUGCAUACAUUAUGAAAGGAAGAAACUGGCCAUUGUGCAAGUUAAUGGAAUCCUGUAUUCUGUAUAUCCCAAAUAAUUAGUUAUUAAGCAAUAUUUUGUAUAUUUAGGUACUGUCUCCAAAGAUUUAUUAAAUUAGUUUAUCAUAUUAAAUUUAAUCUUUUAUUUU